GCAUCAGGAUUGCAUGUGCAUGGC
rnacentral:siRNA from 1 species